CUUCAAUGCUGCACACAAUAAAUUGUGCUGAAGAGCAAUAUUACUAUGUUUGUGAUAACAAAAGAGUGCUUUUUAUGGACACGCGGGAUAAACUGGUUUACGAUAAAGCCAAGCACGCUUGCAAUAUUAGAUUCGCCAGUUUACCUACCGACGCCGAGGAAACCUGCAUGAAGGAGCUUGUCAACCGGAUACCCAAAUGGGAAGGACAACUAUAUUUCUGGGCUACUAGACUAGCUGAUGGGAAUCCGCUUGUCUUUAAUAAUCGUAGUUCGCUUGUUCCUGCGACCGCUACGCACAAAUUUCAUAUAGCCUGCGUUGACAGGAGGGGUGAAUCUCACUAUGUUUGUGAUGCCAACAGAGUGCUUUUUAUGCACACGCGGGAUUUAGUGUCGUACGAUAAAGCCACUAACUUUUGCAAUAUUAGAGGCGCCAGUUUACCUACCGUCAACGAGGAACCCUGCAUGAGGGACCUUUCUUCCCAGUUAUUUAAAACCGAAGGAGACCUAUAUUUCUGGACUACUAGACCAGCUGGUGGGAAGCCGUUUGCCUCUAAUGGAGUUGAUGUGCUUACUUAUCUAAAGCCUACGAACAAAUUUAAUGUAGCCUGCGUUCAGAGGAGGAUUUGUCUACGGCCUAAGGAUCCAGCUCAUGGGUCUUACAGCAACGGUGUAUUCCUUCAACAAGAAUUGCUUGAUACGCUGACUUUGACAUGUAAACCGGGAUAUGAGGUUCAAGGUAACCCGAAGGUGACUUGCAUCACAGCACCUUCCACUACUAGCCCACUACCUA